UUCUAUUCUUGGCUGGGGCAAUGGCGCAUUGAGUUUGCACAGAAUAGCCAUGCCGCUGCCGCUGCUUCCAGACAUUCAUAGAUUUAAGGGGCUCCAUAAGAAGUUACUAGACGAGUCGGAAAAUGGAUGACCGAUGACUUCAUCAGAAACUCAUUGAAGGCUAUCUAACAUUAGACUUGGUUGGACUAGACCAAGAUUGUCAUCAAUAAAAUUAUGCCCAGUGCCAUCCCUUGUGCUUGUCCUAGGGAUGAAUUAUUUGUAUGAAUUGUUAAACCAGUAUAGAAAAGAAUUUUUCAUUUCUCAUGCUCUGAAAGAGGGUCAUUGUUGUUCUAAAAGGUGCGCAGAAAAUGAUACGUGUCUGCACUAGAGCAUUUUACGUUCGAAGUACGACUUUUUUAAUUUUUUUACGAUACGCAAUUGAAAUUUGAGUUUAAAUGGAUUUGUAAUAAAUUUUUCAUUUUGAUAUUUGACUCUCCAUUCCAUAAAUAACGAUACUUUUGUCUGAAUUGUUAAUUGAAAGUACCCUCAAGAAAUACUAUAAAAAUGUAUACUUAGUCAUGUUUUAAAAAAAAUACAUGCAUUUUACUUUCCUCGUAUUCGAAAUGAAAAGUAGAGUGUUUAACUCGGGUGAAAGGCAUCAUUUCUGCCUCGGACUAUUGGCGCUCUCACUGCAUUCGAGCGCCAAAAUACCUCGGCAGAAAUGAGUGCCUUUCGUCCCUUGGUUAACAAUCUACUAUUGAAGUUUGGGAAGGGAAAUGUAGAACAUGUCUCAGUCUAAG